rnacentral:rRNA from 1 species
AAAUUGAAGAGUUUGAUCAUGGCUCAGAUUGAACGCUGGCGGCAGGCCUAACACAUGCAAGUCGAACGGUAACAGGAAGCAGCUUGCUGCUUCGCUGACGAGUGGCGGACGGGUGAGUAAUGUCUGGGAAACUGCCUGAUGGAGGGGGGUAACUACUGGAAACGGUAGCUAAUACCGCAUAAUGUCGCAAGACCAAAGAGGGGGACCUUCGGGCCUCUUGCCAUCGGAUGUGCCCAGAUGGGAUUAGCUUGUUGGUGGGGUAACGGCUCACCAAGGCGACGAUCCCUAGCUGGUCUGAGAGGAUGACCAGCCACACUGGAACUGAGACACGGUCCAGACUCCUACGGGAGGCAGCAGUGGGGAAUAUUGCACAAUGGGCGCAAGCCUGAUGCAGCCAUGCCGCGUGUAUGAAGAAGGCCUUCGGGUUGUAAAGUACUUUCAGCGGGGAGGAAGGGAGUAAAGUUAAUACCUUUGCUCAUUGACGUUACCCGCAGAAGAAGCACCGGCUAACUCCGUGCCAGCAGCCGCGGUAAUACGGAGGGUGCAAGCGUUAAUCGGAAUUACUGGGCGUAAAGCGCACGCAGGCGGUUUGUUAAGUCAGAUGUGAAAUCCCCGGGCUCAACCUGGGAACUGCAUCUGAUACUGGCAAGCUUGAGUCUCGUAGAGGGG